rnacentral:rRNA from 2 species
CGCGACCCCAGGUCAGGCGGGGUUACCCGCUGAAUUUAAGC